rnacentral:rRNA from 1 species
GACAGAGGGUGCAAACGUUGUUCGGAAUUACUGGGCGUAAAGCGCGUGUAGGUGGCGAGGCAAGUCGGGUGUGAAAGCCCUGGGCUCAACCCAGGAAGUGCACUCGAUACUGCCUAGCUAGAGUCCCGGAGAGGUUGGUGGAACUCUCGGUGUAGAGGUGAAAUUCGUAGAUAUCGAGAAGAACACCGGUGGCGAAGGCCGGCCAACUGGACGGUGACUGACACUGAGACGCGAAAGCGUGGGGAGGCAAACAGG